rnacentral:rRNA from 1 species
GAUGAACGCUGGCGGCGUGCCUAAUACAUGCAAGUCGAGCGAACAGAUGAGGAGCUUGCUCCUCUGACGUUAGCGGCGGACGGGUGAGUAACACGUGGAUAACCUACCUAUAAGACUGGGAUAACUUCGGGAAACCGGAGCUAAUACCGGAUAAUAUAUUGAACCGCAUGGUUCAAUAGUGAAAGACGGCUUUGCUGUCACUUAUAGCUGGAUCCGGGCUGCAUUAGCUAGUUGGUAAGGUAACGGCUUACCACGGCAACGAUGCGUAGCCGACCUGAGAGGGGGAUCGGCCACACUGGAACUGAGACACGGUCCAGACUCCUACGGGAGGCAGCAGUAGGGAAUCUUCCGCAAUGGGCGAAAGCCUGACGGAGCAACGCCGCGUGAGUGAUGAAGGUCUUCGGAUCGUAAAACUCUGUUAUUAGGGAAGAACAAAUGUGUAAGUAACUAUGCACGUCUUGACGGUACCUAAUCAGAAAGCCACGGCUAACUACGUG